rnacentral:lncRNA from 1 species
GACACUUGUAGAUCUGGAAUGUGGAAGUGCCCCAGAAUGAUCAUGAUUUAACGUUUGAGAUAAACUUUUGAUGAAAUUUCAGAUCAAUUCCUACGUCCUUUGGAAGAUACGUUUUAUCAUGACUUUAUAAUUCAGAAGAGAAACUUUAAUUUCUGUAGAAAAUUAUAAAAGAUGGUGAGACUAAGUUUCUCUCUAUAUAUAAAAUGAGAGGAUUGGAAGAUUGAGAUGAAGUCAUCUCCUAAGGGACCUACAUUUAAAAGCAAUCAGCUUCAUGGACCUGAAAGGACCUUCAAGGGCUUGACUGGCAAAACAUGUCUUGGAAAGAGGAUGAAUUCACCCAAGACCAAGAGAGGCUGAGGAAAGGAGGUGUGAAACUCGUCUCCGGGGAAUCUGGUUGAUGGCAGGGAGUUAAGAAUCCAAGAGACGGGAACUGGAGCCAGAGUAGACCAGAAGCCAGAGAUUCAUUGCCCUCCAUCCUCAACUACAUGCUGAAAUACUAGAGGGACUCUUGUUUCUCACUCUCCAAGGGCUAUGCGCAGCAGUGGGCCGGGUGCGGUGGCUCACGCCUGUAAUCCCAGCACUUUGGAAAGCCGAAGUGGGUGGAUCGCUUGAGCCCUGGAGUUCGAGACCAGCCUGGGCAACAUGGUGAAACCCUGUCUCUACUAAAAACACAAAAACUAGCCGAGCAUGGUGGCGGGCACCUGUAAUCCCAGCUACUCAUGAGGCUGAGGCACAAGAAUUGCUUGAACCCAGGAGGCGGACGUUGCAGUGAGCCGAGAUCAUGCCAGUGCACUCCAGCCUGGGCAAAAGAGCAAGACUCCGUCUCAAAAAAAAAAAAAAAAAAAAAAAGAUACACAGCAGUGAUGGCUUGGCACUACCAGCAGCCAUCUUGCUACCUGUUUGAGAAUGAAGCCAAACAAAAUCAAAUAAACCCCGAAAGAUGGAAAGAGA